UAAUAUAUAGCUUGGAAAUGGGAAAAUUUGCUUGCAAACUCAAAUACAGCCACAAUUAGGCAUCACGGUUAACUCCGUGACUUGACUCUUGUCGUGCCCAACAAGUACAUUAGUCUAGAAAUUAGAACAUUAAAUCAUCUCCUAGCAUGGUUGGAGAAUUUUGUGUUUGAGGCCCACAAGAAACUAAGAAAAUUGAAACAUAAAGGUUUCAUUACUACUUCAAAGAGUUCACGACCUUUAUGCUUCAAAUCCCAAGGCAUGUCGGAAAAUGUCUUGCUAUUCUAUUUCAUGGAUGGUUGUGCAACAUGGGUGUGGCAAGAAUUCCAAAGGAGUACGAAGACGCAAGCAAAGGACCUUCAAACCAACCAAAGGAAAUUUUGGUAAAGGCAGGGGUGGCGUAAGCCGAAUUGGAGACCAAAUCCCAAAGUCGAAUAAUUGGAGAAAGGUUUAUGCUGACAAAAAUGUAAUUUUGCUCCUAGUGGUUGAUUCAAAUAUGCAAAGGGCCGCAUCUCAUGCGGGAUUGUCCUAAUCUAUGAUCAUUGGCAUCCAUCUCGAGGAGCAAACUGGAGGUCAUAGAUAGCGGAUGAAGUUAAGAUGAAUUCAUUCCAAUUGUUUAAUAUAAGGACAUGAUGCCAACAGAUUUGUCGAGGGAACUACCAUAAAGGAGAGAAAGUGAUUAUGUUCAAUUGCUAUAGGAGGCGCAGGUAGGAAAAAUUAGGUAGCGCAGAUAGUGCACCACAACUAAGCAGAACUAUCUGUAGUAGGGAUCGCAAUUUGAGAAAACACAAGAACUAUGGAAGGGGACACAGGCAGGACCAGCAUAUUCAUUAUAGUAGGGGGACGUGGAAAGGAAAAAAUUCAAGCAAAUUGGGCAGGCACUGCAGCUCAGGAACGUAAGUAGCAACACAUGCAGAUUAAAUAAACAAAACACAAGCAAAAAUUGCAAUCGGGCUAGGUAGGCAGGACAUAGGCAAAUUGAACAAACAGAACACAAGCAGAUGGUGAAAAACGUUGGCAAGGGACGCAGGA
rnacentral:lncRNA from 1 species